rnacentral:lncRNA from 1 species
CUAGUUUUUAGCACAAGAGGGUUUCGGAAGGUGGUGGUUUGAGGUUGGGUAGGAUUUCUACAAUAUCUAAAGAUCUAUAAGUCAAAUUAAGCUAAAAAUUGGCAUGGUAUUGAAGGACUUAAAGAUCAAGCUACAUACCAAUUUUGAGUUAAAGUUAAUGAUUGGAAAGGGAGAAAUUACUACUGGGAUUUUUGCUUCACUUUUCAAGUUGGCGGCUGAGUAACAUCAAUACAAUUUUUGGAGGUUUUUUCACAAUUUGUAAGUUGAAUUGGGCUAAAAAUUCUUGAGCAUAUAGAAGACUUAUAUUGACAAUUUCAUGCAAAAUUCCACAUCAAGUGGAUGGUCAAAUUGGAUGUUACAGCUUGUUAAAGCUCACUAAUUAGGAUUGGGGCUUACAAGAAAAAUCUAAAUUACUUGAAUAUGAAAGUAACAAGGUAAUUGGGAUUUAUAUAUAGUUAAGACUACUAAGAAGAGUAUUUUUAGCACUUUUGAAUUAAAAUUCAGAUUAUAUUCCUCUUGUAUAGAUAAAAUCUAUUAGGGUUUCUUGGCUACUUGUGAAACUCAAUCUCACCUUCUACAGCUAGGUGAUCAGUGUCGUAUUAUGAGCUAUCUUGCUUGAAAACGCACCGGGCAUGUGGCUGUGGAAG